rnacentral:rRNA from 1 species
UACGAAGGGGACUAGCGUUGUUCGGAAUUACUGGGCGUAAAGCGCACGUAGGCGGAUUUGUUAGUCAGGGGUGAAAUCCCGGGGCUCAACCUCGGAACUGCCUUUGAUACUGCAAGUCUCGAGUCCGAUAGAGGUGGGUGGAAUUCCUAGUGUAGAGGUGAAAUUCGUAGAUAUUAGGAAGAACACCGGUGGCGAAGGCGGCCCACUGGAUCGGUACUGACGCUGAGGUGCGAAAGCGUGGGGAGCGAACAGG